CAUUGUUUCUCACAUAUAAUGCUAUUGCAUACUUAGUAGACUACAGUAUAAUGCAAACAUAACUUUUAUAGGAACUG